CACGUAGGGGCAAGCGUUGUCCGGAUUCAUUGGGCGUAAAGAGCUCGUAGGCGGUUCGAUAAGUCGGGUGUGAACCUCCAGGCUCAACCGUGGAGACGCCACCCGAUACUGUCGUGACUAGAGUCCAGUAGGGAGCGUGGAAUUCCUGGUGUAGCGGUGAAAUGCGCAGAUAUCAGGAGGAACACCGGUGGCGAAGGCGGUUCUCUGGGCAUGUCCUGACGCUGAGGAGCGAAAGUGUGGGAGCGA
rnacentral:rRNA from 1 species